rnacentral:tRNA from 1 species
GGAGGCAUUGUCGCUCUAUGUUAGAACAUCUGCUUGGCGCACAGAAGGGCCCAGGUUCAAUUCCUGGCAUAUCCA